AUUGAACGCUGGCGGCAUGCCUUACACAUGCAAGUCGAACGGCAGCACGGGAGCAAUCCUGGUGGCGAGUGGCGAACGGGUGAGUAAAGUAUCGGAACGUGCCCAGUCGUGGGGGAUAACGUAGCGAAAGUUACGCUAAUACCGCAUACGAUCUUUGGAUGAAAGCGGGGGAUCGCAAGACCUCGCGCGAUUGGAGUGGCCGAUAUCAGAUUAGGUUGUUGGUGAGGUAAAGGCUCACCAAGCCGACGAUCUGUAGCUGGUCUGAGAGGACGAGCGGCCACAAUGGGACUGAGAGACGGCCCAGACUCCUACGGGAGGCAGCAGUGGGGAAUUUUGGACAAUGGGCGCAAGCCUGAUCCAGCAAUGCCGCGUGCAGGACGAAGGCCUUCGGGUUGUAAACUGCUUUUGUACGGAGCGAAACGGUCACCUCUAACACAGGUGGCUAAUGACGGUACCGUAAGAAUAAGCACCGGCUAACUACGUGCCAGCCGCCGCCGUAA
rnacentral:rRNA from 1 species